rnacentral:lncRNA from 1 species
AAGAAUGCCAACAAAUUUGGCACCAAAUGAUUGAGGGCCAAAUCCAUUUCCUUUUCAGCUUCGGGCUAGAAGUACAUAUCGUAAAAAUUAGAAUAGUAAAACUAAAUCAAAACUUUUAAAAGAACUAAAUUAAUGUAGUUUAUUUAUACCAGGUGUGCCCUCUAGUUGAAGUGAAAGAUAGAUCUUGUAUAGUUUUCUGACACCGCCCAUUCCAAUACCUCCUCCUGAAUGCUCUCUCUUUCACUGCAAGCAAAACAAUGACCCCAUAUGUACUUCACAUUGCAAACCCCCUGUUUUUCUAAAACCUUGUACAUGUUUUAGUAUUCCAAGUCUCCUCUUUUUAAUUAUUUUUUAUUUUUUAUAAUCUUCUAUGUAAGAAACAUGUUUACUCUGUUUCCUGAACCUAUCUUUCAAAUCUUCACAUUCCUUGAUUAUCAUAAAAGUUUCACCUAAUGGAAAUGUUCAAAUCUUCAUAUAACC